ACUGAACGCUAGCGGCCGGCCUAUAACAUUCAAUUCACACGCGCGGCGCGCGUUUUACUAGUGUAUGGGGACUGCCCGCUAGAGGGGGAUAACUACUGGGAACGGUAGCUAAUACCGCAUACUAUCGGCUAACCCAUAUGGGGGUAGCUAGUAGGUGAGGUAAUGGCUCACCUAGGCGACGAUCCCUAGCUGGUCUGAGAGGAUGAUCAGCCACACUGGGACUGAGACACGGCCCAGACUCAGAGGGAGUCAGCAGUGGGGCAUAUUGCACAAUGGUCGCAAGCCUGAUGCAGCCAUUCCGCGUGUAUGAAGAAGGCUCUAGGGUUGUAAAGUACUUUCAGUCGGGAGGCGGUACCGACAGAAGAAGAACCGGUUAACUCCGGGCAAGCAGCCGCGGUAAUAC
rnacentral:rRNA from 1 species